rnacentral:misc_RNA from 1 species
AACUUUCAGCAACGGAUCUCUUGGCUUUCGCAUCGAUGAAGAACGCAGCGAACGUGCGAAACGUAAUGAGAAUUGCAGAAUCCAGUGAAUCAUCGAAUCUUUGAACGCAUCUUGCGCUCCUUGGCAUUCCGAGGAGCAUGCCUGUUUGAGUGUCGUGAAGUACUCUCAAUUUCAAUCUUUUUUGAAAUUGGAUUUGGGUGUUGCCGUGAAUGUCACGACUCAUCCUAAAUGAAUUAGCGAUCUGCGUUUGAUCACACAAUGUGAUAAAAUAUAAAGCAUUCUUAGGAUCGAGUGAGGAUGGCUUCCAACCGUCGUAAAAGACAAAUGAUACAUUUGACCUCAGAUCAGGUAGGACUACCCGCUGAACUUAAGCAUAUCAAUAAGCGGAGGCU